rnacentral:sRNA from 1 species
GCCUCCGUGGCGGGUGGCUGGCGGUCCCGUUAGGUCUGGGGGAGCGAUGGCGGCACGCGUGUUGAAGCUGCUGACCACACUGCUGGCUCUCGUGGCCGCUGCCUCCCAAGCCGAGGUCGAGUCCGAGGCAGGAUGGGGCAUGGUGACGCCUGAUCUGCUCUUCGCCGAGGGGACCGCAGCCUACGCGCGCGGGGACUGGCCCGGGGUGGUCCUGAGCAUGGAACGGGCGCUGCGCUCCCGGGCAGCCCUCCGCGCCCUUCGCCUGCGCUGCCGCACCCAGUGUGCCGCCGACUUGCCGUGGGAGCUGGACCCCGACUGGUCCCCCAGCCCGGCCCAGGCCUCGGGCGCCGCCGCCCUGCGCGACCUGAGCUUCUUCGGGGGCCUCCUGCGCCGCGCCGCCUGCCUGCGCCGCUGCCUCGGGCCGCCCGCCGCCCACUCGCUUAGCGAAGAGAUGGAGCUGGAGUUCCGCAAGCGGAGCCCCUACAAUUACCUGCAGGUCGCCUACUUCAAGAUCAACAAGUUGGAGAAAGCUGUCGCCGCAGCACACACCUUCUUUGUGGGCAAUCCUGAGCACAUGGAAAUGCGGCAGAACCUAGACUAUUACCAAACCAUGUCUGGAGUGAAGGAGGCCGACUUCAAGGAUCUUGAGACUCAACCCCAUAUGGUGAAAAAACUUUAUCCCUUUCUUUCUCUCUUUCUCUUUAAAUUUAUUUUAGAGACAGAGUCUUGCUCUGUCACCCAGGCUGGAGUGCAGUGGCUUGAUCAUAGCUCACUGUAACCUCAAAUUCCUGGACUCAAGAGACCCUCUAGUCUCGGCCUCCAGAGUAGUUGGGACUACAGGCAUGCAUUCUUUUGUUUUUUUUUAAAUGACAUUACUAAGGUUGUUUUCUAAUUACAUUACAGAAGUAAUAAAUGUUCAUUGUAUAACAUUGUAGAAAUGUAGGUAAGUAUAAAACAAAAAGUAAUUUGUAAUACCGCCACCUUAAGAAAACUAGUUUAUAUUUUGCCCUAUUUGUUAAGUCUUCCGUAUAUAAUUUUUUUCAUCUAAUUUGGUGUUAUAUUGUUUAUGCAUUUUUUAUCAUCUUUUUAAUUUUUUUUGAGGCAGGAUCUCACUUUGUUGUCCAGGCUACAGUGCAAUGGUGUGAUCAUGGCUCACUGCAGCCUUGACCUCCUGGGCUCAAGUGAUCCUCCUGCCUCAGCCCCACAAAUAGCUGGGACUAGAGGCGUGCACUACCACACCCAGCUAUUGUUUUUAGUUUUUGUAGAGACAGGGUCUCACUGUGUCGCCCAGGCUGAUUUCAAACUCCUGGCCUCGAGCGAUCCUACUGCCUUGGCCUCCCAAAGUGCUGGGAUUACAGGUGUGAGCCACCAUGGCCAGCCCCAUCAUCAUUUUUUAACUAACAUUAUUAUCGUGAGUCUUUUCUCAUGUCUUCAGUUUUAUUUGAAAACAUAAUUGUUUAUGGCUUCAAGAUAGUCCAUCUUAUGCAGAGACUAUAUUAAUUCACUAGUCACAUUUUUUUGGUCAUGUAUGUUUUUGAUUUUCACUACAAUAAAUGUUACAGUAUCCCUCAAUGUUCUUAUUCUAUUUGUUUAGCAGGAAAAGUCUGUUCCAAAGGAGAGACUGUCUGUGAUGAUAUAGCAUUUUAUAGAGCACUUACGGUUCCUUACAUUUUAAUUAUGAAACAGGAAUGUUAGAAACAAUAUAAGAACGACUUUUAGGCCAGGCGCAGUGGCUAACACCUGUAAUCCCAGCACUUUGGGAGGCCAAGGUGGGUGGAUCACUUGAGGUCAGGAGUUUGAGACCAGCCUGGCCAAUAUGGUGAAACCCCAUCUCUACUAAAAAUACAAAAAUUAGCCAGGCAUGGUGGCAGACACCUGUAAUCCCAGCUGCUUGACGCGGAGGCAGGAGAAUAGCUUGAACCCGGAAGGCGGAGGUUGCAGUGAGCCAAGAUUGUACCACUGCACUCCAGCCUGGGUGACAGAGCAAGAGUCAAAAAAAAAAAAAAUGACUUUUAAAAGUAAGUUGUGGCCAGGUGCAGUGGGUCACACCUGUCAUCCCAGCACUUUGGAAGGCCAAGGCGGGCGGAUCACAAGGUCAGGAGAUCGAGACCAUCCUGCCCAACAUGGUGAAUCCCUGUCUCUACUAAAAAUACAAAAAUCAGCUGAGCGUGAUGGUGUGUGCCUGUAUUCCCAGCUACUCAGGAGCCUAAGGCAGGAGAAUCACUUGAACCCGGGAGGCAGAGGUUGCAGUGAGCCGAGACUGCGCCACUGCACUCCAGCCUGGGUGACAGAGCGAGACUCCAUCACAAAAAAAAAAAAAAAAAAGUAAGUUGUGUCGGCCGGGUGGUGGCUCACCCUGUAAUCCCAGCACUUUGGGAGGCCGAGGUGAGUGGAUCACUUGAGGCCAGAAGUUCAAGACCAGCCUGGCCAACAUGGUGAAAUCCUGUCUCUACUAAAAAUACAAAAAUUAACCAGGUGUGGUGGUGUAUGCCCAUAAUCCCAGCUUCUCAGGAGGCUGAGGCGCCAGAAUCACUGGAACCCAGGAGGUGGAGGUUGCAGUGAGCCGAGAUCACGCCACUGCCCUCCAGCCUGGGCUGUCUGUCUCAAAAAAAAAAGACUCUGUCUCAAAACAAAACAAAACAAAAAGUAAGUUGUGUUUAUUUGAAAACCGUUAGCCCUACAAAAAAGUGGAAGAAGCUGGGCCGGGCACGGUGGCUCAUGCCUGUAAUCCCAGCACUUUGGGAGGCCAAGGCAGGCAGAUCACCUGAGGUCAAGAGUUCGAGACCAGCCAGACCAACAUGACAAAACCCCAUCUCUACUAAAAACACAAAAUUAGCCAGGCAUGGUGGUGCACACCUGUAAUCCCAGCUACUCUGGAGGCUGAGGCAGGAGAAUUGCUUGAACCCUGGAGGCGGAGGUUGCGAUGAGCCAAGAUCGCACCAUUGCACUCCAGCCUGGGCAACAAGAGUAAAAUCCCGACUCAAAAAAAAAAAA